rnacentral:lncRNA from 1 species
UAGUUGCUUUGAGAAAGGACAACAAUUUUAAUAUAAACUAAGUCAGGGUAACACAAAGAAAUGACUGGGAGGAAGAGAAUUGGUGAGAAAAGCAGGGGGCAGUGUCCCUUCUCUAACUAACCCUUUUCCCUCCCUCCUCGAGUUUGGGGAACUCAGGCCUUGGCAGCCUGCACCACCUGGAGAAAGAGUCAGGUUUACCUGCCCUGGUCUUUGGUCCCUGGCCACAGUUCAGACCCAGGGCACCAGGAGCUGUGAGUAGCCACCCAGAGGAGAAUGCCUUUAGGACAAAAACACCAUGUGGGCAGGACCUGGAGCAGUGGAAAGCUGCUCUUAUCCUUCUUGAAGACGACCAAGAAUCACCCUAUGAUGAGUAAGCAAUAUGGUGGCUAUCUAAAACUUGAGUCUCGGUUACAAGAACACGAAGAGAAAAGUGAUCUUAAUGCAAUGGGCGGGAAAUCUUCCUGUUUUUAUUUUCAAUCUUUGGCUGGCUAGGAAAAUAUCCAUGUAUUCUUUCUUUAAAAAUGUUUUUUUUCUUGAUAUCUUUUGUGUUGAAAUCACAUUUAUAUUUAGUGAUA